CAGGAAAUAGUUUAUAUAAAAUUUUAAUUUUGGAGAUUAAAGAAAGGCAAUUAGCUUUUUCCUGA
rnacentral:tRNA from 1 species